UUGCUUUGGUAGCACAUACACUAAAAGUUUGGAACUGUACAGAGAUUAGCGUGGUCCCUGCACAAGGAUAACAUGCAGAUUUGUGAAGUGUUUCACAUUUAG